UACUUUGGAUGUUAGGACUAGGGUAGGCUUUGGCCUCAUUUUCCCCUCUGGGCUCCCCAUGACUUUGAGGGGUAUCUUUCUUACUGUUGCUUCCUGGCUUGAUCCAAAUGCCAAUGUAGGCUUACUUUGGCUUUCUGCUGUUUCUCUGAGGCUCUUAAUGAGUCCACUUUGCUGUUUGCCAGCCGGUUCACUUUGUCAUCUCCUCUCUGCCAGUGUUGAUGCCUUUAACAAGGCAGAGUGAGAUGUGAUUCUCCAAGAGACCCUUCCAGUCAUUUACUUCUGAAUCCCCUUAAGGGAGUGUUGGAGGUGCAGGGUUUCACUGGGAAAAGCAAUAUGCCACUAGACUGGAUGCUGCUGCUUUAAACUGGCAUUGAUUCCAGUUCCUUUGAUUUGGAGAAUGACACCCCACCCCCACCUCAUCCCACCUUCCUCUUCACAACUUCAGAAACCUGGAGUUCUGCCAAAGCCAGAGAUGGAAAUGGGUCUGUGAUGGACAGGACCGAGGUUAGUGGAACAGUCUGGGCUGCCUCCUGAUGACCACUCCAGCUUAAAAACUCUUGGACUAGACUUGCUUUCACACGAACCUUGUUAGAUUUAUCAUCUGCUGAUUCCUUUAACGAUCUGGCCUGGGCUUGCAGGCGCCAUCUUGGGGUGUUGUCCGCCCGCUCAAUCCUACAAUGAAAGGGACCUUCACCCGCUCCUUUCGAGCCCUGCCUUGCCCCCAGCGCAGUCGGUGACCGGGGGCCAGCCUCCCAGCCACGCGCCUCCUCCUUACCUGGCUCCUUCGGCGUAGUCUUCGCCGCGGCGGGCCGUCCAGGGCGUUGGCGGGUGAAGUUGGGGCCACCGCGCGGCGGGGGCUCCGCACACGGAGGACGGCCCACGGAUCGGCGAUAUCGGCCUAGGCGGGCAUUCAGGAUUAGGCUUAAGGAUCGCCCAAAGCGGCUGGCACCAGAUGCAGAUGUGCUACCCGUCCGCCGGCUCCCUAACAAUCAACAAACCAAAUGGUUUUUGCUCUUUGCCAAAACAGAGAUUCGAACCAGCACCAGCAAAAGGAUCUAGGAGAAAAGCAAUUUAGCCACAGCUCAAGCUGGCAAAGUGCUCCCAACCUAGGCGAAUGGGAAAAGAUCGUGGAGUCAAGAUAUAGGACAGAUAUUUAUCUUGUCUACUACAAAAACACUCCCAAAUUCAUAAGCGUGCAUUGACUGAGACGUGACGUGGGAAACAGUAACUCAUAAUUUCUAUUAUGCCUCCCUGGAAGGCUAAGACAUAAAACAAGAAAAGAAGAAAAACUGUGAGAUCGCUGAACUGCCAUCUUUCCUUCCCACAUCUCCUGGCAGCUGGUUAUCGGAGCCUCUCCUCCUGUCACCUGGACACAAAAUACCUGGAGACCUACAUCUAUGAACUGCAGGUGGAGUUCUCACGGGAAGGUUGGGAAAAACGACUCUUGGCAUGGACUGAGUGUAUUGCUGUACGGAGAAUGAUCUCAGUGGGCGGCUGGCGACCUGUCCUUGGGAAAGAAGUCAGACUGCCGCCUUCAUGGACAGAGUAUCUUCUUCACAAGAGAGACCCCCCCCCCACGUACCUGCAAAUGAGAACAUGGAACCCCUCAGACCUUGGGUGGUCAACUGGAAGGAGUUUUCUUUUCUGAGAGGGGAGAUAUUCUCUGAAAUUCUCAGAUGGCAUACCUGUGCAGCUUGCUAGACGUAUGGCCACGUUAAUGAUGACUGCAUGUCCAUUCUACAGUUGGCCAAGACGAAGAAUUCGAAGAAAUGGAAAGAGGGUGCAUGGUCGAUUAUGCCUGCUCUCGUCAUGUCUGAGAGAUCUUGGACGACAGCCUAUAAAAUCCAAGUAACCCUUGAUCUGUUCAUUUGCAUUGUGGAAUUAAACAUAGGACCAAAGAGUUGUUGGCAGCAGACCACUGAAUCCUUGGAUGAGAAUGAUUAGAUAAUUAACGGAUAAAUAUUUUGCCACACAGAUGCUUAUUUCCUUAUGCAACAGCACAAACCGACUGUAUACCCUAAAGUUUUUUACUUGUCCCACCUGCUAGUCACAUAAUGUUGAGAAAUAGCAGCCUCCUUUACAGCUUUGUGUAUGAGAAACUGUCCAAAUGUUUGAAGACAAUGCCAUUGUGUGUCCACGGUUUUUGUUCUUAGGCCGUGGAAGAGAAAGAGUGAGCCAUGAAGCUUGCUGGACAAAGACCUCACCAGAUGCCCCAGGCCCUGACCUUCAACCUUAGCUCCCCAGGUAAAAGGAAAGCAGAAGGGCAGAGCGCUUGUCUUGGGACCUUCCUUCCUGCCCAGAAAUAAGACCAAAAAUGAUGUCUUCCCCGUAAGCUCAGAGAUAUCUUUGAUAAUGAUGUCCUUUAUUUUAGUUUUUCCCCAGUUACACAUUAAGAAAAUUUUUAGCAUUCAUUUUUACAAGAUUUUGAGUUCCAG